rnacentral:tRNA from 1 species
GGCCUAGUAGUAUCAAAUUGCAAGUUUGAUUUUGGAAGACGUAGGUUUUCGUGGGCCUA